CUAACUUCUCCUUCCUUUUCAGCCACAACAACCAAAGCCAUGAAUCUUCCAUCUUCUUCUCUACCUGUCCCUUCUAUCCAUUUUCCUGCUCACUCUUACUUUAACUUCUUUAUCUACUCUACACCCAAAUUCUCAUACACACUUAUUACAAAUCUAUAAGAUGCGUACGUUUGCUUUUUUAGAGUUUUACUGGAUUUAUAAAAACAAGACUUUUGAAUGAAUCAAGGAUGGUGGAUUUCAAUGGAUUCGUCAAUAUCUAUACUGUUAAUAAAUGGACGACUCAUCAAACAGGUCUGAACAUCUUUGCAUGAGUAGUUGGCCGAGAAAAAAAAGAACUUUAGAUACUGUUUACAGUCCACAAUCAGAAGCACAAGAGACACUGAUCAAAUGGUAAUUUUCACUGUUCCUAGAAUAACUUUCCCAAACAGAAAUAAAAGGGGACUCAAGAUUUGUUUACAGCUUGUCACCUCUAUUAUUGCUUUACAUCAUCACAUGUUUCGGAAGCUCUGUCAAAUUAGCCUGACAUUUUAGCUGAUACUCUUUAAAAAGUUGGGAAUUUCCCAUCAGUAACCUUAUAUGUCUUUUUUUUUUUCAUAGAGAAUAAAGUGAGUUUGUUCUGGAUUGCUUUUGUUUAGUGUGUGCUACCAUUUAGUAAAGAUGAGAUGUAUACAGAUGCAUGAAACAGUAAUGUAGAACAGUGGCAACUUUUAAAGCAAAUAUUGAUUAUAACAUAAAA